UACGUAGGGUGCGAGCGUUAAUCGGAAUUACUGGGCGUAAAGGGUGCGCAGGCGGCCAUGCAAGUCAGAUGUGAAAGCCCCGGGCUUAACCUGGGAAUUGCGUUUGAAACUGCAAGGCUAGAGUGCAACAGAGGGGAGUGGAAUUCCAUGUGUAGCAGUGAAAUGCGUAGAGAUGUGGAAGAACACCGAUGGCGAAGGCAGCUCCCUGGGUUGACACUGACGCUCA
rnacentral:rRNA from 1 species